GAUGCUUGCAAACCUCGGACCAUAGCACUGUUGAAUUCGAUCUAGAUCAUCACACCACACAACGGUUGCAGACAAUUCGGCGCUCCAUGAUCCAAAAUCCGAGGAGUGCUUUAAUCAACAAUUAUCUAGAGAGGAGACAGGCUUAUCUGGCAACAGUGGUUCCGGAUGUGUAGUGUGAUAGCUUGUUACAUUAUAGGAUUUGAAGAUAUGUAUCAACUAAAGAUGGUCACAAUUAUUUGUAUUUCGCCGUUUAUGUAUUAAAAACCGACUCUUUGCUCUGUUGAAUUCGAUACGUAUAAUGUUAUCAAACCCUCGCAGUCAGAAAUAAAUUAUGUUAUCAUUCCUUGUAAGAUCUCAAAAACAUCAAUAAGAAUGAGCAUAUUUUCAGUCUUCUAGGUAGCCACAGCUUCAUCCUGAGCCAUGACAAUAUCUGCUGGUCUGUCAUGUAAAAGUUCAGACUAUCACAACAUACAAUUUACUCAUUUUUUCAAUAGUAUAGUAAAAAUAACAUAGAAAUAUACAAUUUUGCCAGCCAAAAUAAUACUAAAUGAACUUAAAAAUAAAUACCGUAUUCACUCGUACAAAUCUUUGACCUAUGCAGCGAAAUCUUAUAUUCCAGUUGAACACUACAGACCAGAUUGGUCCUGUGCUAUCUGAAAUGAGAUCUGAACUUUUUGUUUGAUAACAUUAUACCCAGUGACUUACUCUAAACAUAUAAAGAUCUGAACUUUCACUAUACAGGCAAAGAGGAUUUAUGACAGUUCUCUGCAUUUCCCCUUUUGAUUUGUGAUAGCAAGUUGCGAAAGUGUUUAAGGGGAAAAUAUUUGGGGGCAACUACUAAUUGGAUAUUUCGUAACUCUUUUUGGAGAUUGCAUAACUUAAUGUACAGUUUGAUGAACCGAAAGAUAGAAAUCAGUACCAUUAUAUGUUUUUUUCGUUGUGGUUCAAGAAAUGGAUGCCCUUUUUUGUUCCUUAAAAACUUCCUAUCAGAUGAUGAUCUAACUUCUCCGCUGCUAUGAAUACCAUUACCGUGUGUCUGUGCCUAUAUAUGUGCUUUGAUUAUUCAGUUUGGGUUCACUCUCAAGCCUCAAGGGAUAUUUUUAUUUUAACAGAAAUUCAAGUCAAAAUGAAACUGUUCCAUGAUGCAAUAUUGAGACAUAAUUUUCCCUAAAUCACCCAAGCCUGCCCAACAUGCACGACAGGUCAAGCCAUGCAUUGCAGCCACCAAAUGCUUUUGCCCUCGCCAUGGACAAUGACUGCAUAUGUCAGUUUCUAUGUGGAACUAUCCCUAAGGCUCUGCUCGAUCGUGCAUAUGGCCUAUUUUGCAAUGCACUGUUCACAGAGUUGGAGCUUGAAAUGGAAGAUGAGUAAGGCUGCUAGAGAUAGACUGCACUAAUCCAAUUAAUCCUGUUAUAUUACAUGAAUAAAUCACCAUGAAUAUGAUAACCCCAAUAAUGCCUUUUUUGUUUUUACUGGCAAGAAUCUUCUGACAAUGAAAGUCUUUUAAGCCAUUGUCUGCUAAUUUAAGCUAGGCACAGAUUGUGCCAGUAAGCACAAAAUCAACGACCUUCAGUUUAUAGCUAGGACACCAAUCAUCAAUGUGGGGGUGACUACUGUAGUUAUUCAGUCACCCCAACAACCUUCAUACUGUAGUAUCGCAGUCAGAAAAAAUGUAUGCCACACAACACAUGCAAAUCUUUUUGGUCUACCAUGUGUUGGGUGUUUCUAGCAUGUCACUUGGCUGGUAUGAGGCUAAAAAAUAAUUUGUUAGCUCCUAUGAAUCUGGGCACUGCUUAUUAUGUUUAGUGAACUCAAUUUUCUAUGUUCCAAUCACUGCUCUUAGUUAAUUUUGAUACUUGCAGUCUGUAGAUCUUGUUUUCUGUUGAUUCACUUGUAAUUAAACUGUUUGGGUCACUAGAUUGGUAGGAUAAAACUGAAAGCAAUGAGAAUGGCAUGUCUUUGGGCCUGAAUUUUGCACAAGAUUCGACUGCUCAUUUGGUUUGAAUCUUUGCUUCUGAACUACAUUUGUUGGUCAAUGAGUUCUUUACUUUCUUUAGUACUCUCGUGGUCCUUUGACAGACUGCACUUCUGAACUACAUUUUUGUCUGUCUGUGGACAUGUUUGUUUGAAUAGUCUGUGAACCUUGACGGACUUGAAAAUUAUUUAAAAAGUCCAUUGCCCCUAUCAGGUUUUCUUUAUGGAGAACAGAGAACAAACACAAACAAAUCAGAUGGCAGUCAAUGUGGGGUGACUAUUGUAGUUAUUCAGUCACCCCAACAACCUUCAUACUGUAGUAUCGCAGUCAGAAAAAAUGUAUGCCACACAACACAUGCAAAUAUUUUGGUCUACCAUGUGUUGGGUGUUUCUAGCAUGUCACUUGGCUGGUAUGAGGCUAAAAAAUAAUUUGUUAGCUCCUAUGAAUCUGGGCACUGCUUAUUAUGUUUAGUGAACUCAAUUUUCUAUGUUCCAAUCACUGCUCUUAGUUAAUUUUGAUACUUGCAGUCUGUAGAUCUUGUUUUCUGUUGAUUCACUUGUAAUUAAACUGUUUGGGUCACUAGAUUGGUAGGAUAAAACUGAAAGCAAUGAGAAUGGCAUGUCUUUGGGCCUGAAUUUUGCACAAGAUUCAACUGCUCAUUUGGUUUGAAUCUUUGCUUCUAAACUACAUUUGUUGGUCAAUGAGUUCUUUACUUUCUUUAGUACUCUCGUGGUCCUUUGACAGACUGCACUUCUGAACUACAUUUUUGUCUGUCUGUGGACAUGUUUGUUUGAAUAGUCUGUGAACCUUGACGGACUUGAAAAUUAUUUAAAAAGUCCAUUGCCCCUAUCAGGUUUUCUUUGUGGAGAACAGAGAACAAACACAAACAAAUUAGAUGGCACAUAAUGUUGCUCGCACACCAUGUGCAGACAUCUCAAACACCAUUAAUACAGGUGAUCAAAAUGGAUCAAACUCGUUACGACCAAUUGUUGAUGCUAAGGAACGUAAGAGGCAAAGAGAUAAGGAAAGAUAUGCCACGAUGUUCGAUGAACAGAAAAACGAGAAAAACAAAAAGCGUCGAGAAGCAUGUCUACGGAAUAAAGAGUUGAAUAAGAAGCGUCCUGAAGCAAUUCAACGAAACAAUUGCCAAAAUAUGAUGCCCAACACGCCAAGAGGUGGAGACGAAAAAGUAAAUGUUGAUCCAGAUGAUGAAUCCGACUGGUUGCAUAUCAAUUAUACAUUACAGUCAAAUGACAUUGAUGCAAUGACAGAAGUUCUAACACCAGGUUGGGGUAUUCAUGCUUCACUUCUUGAGCUUGGUAUAUUGCUUCCAGAUGCUACGAUCUCCUGUGCUUGACAUGACACAAGCACGGAUCGGAACACUUGUUGUAUAUGAACUCAAGAAUGCCAAGAAACUGUCAAAUGGUGUCGUCAGAUCUUAAGAAACAGCCCCAUGGCUAUUCGCGUGCUGAAAUCUGCACUCAACGCGACAGAUGAUGGCCA